CAGAAGAUCCAGUCAGACCUCUAGAUUCCUAACCUGCCCAACUUCAAAAAUAGACUGUGUUUGGUGCCAGCAGUGUUCAGAAAGCCACACGGCUUGUAUUUCUAGAGUAGCCUAAUAAACUCUCAAUUUGCAGUCAACAUCUAAUAAUUCUUUUAGUUCAUAAGCCUUUACAAAAGAUUAAGCUAAGUGAUAUUAAGAAGAAAAUGAAAUGAGACAAACAAGUCUCAAGAAAUACAGCAGACAAUCGCUAGGAUUCUUUUGGUGGGGACCAAAGGAUUGCAAGAUUUCUGCCUUUACGGAGCUGCCAUGCAUUCAUGGCUCGAGAAGGAUUCGAACACGCUUCCAGCUGCUCAAAACCGUCGGGAAACCUUGAAAUGACUUUGGACAUCACACUGAAUUCUUUAAUGUGAGCCGUUUCUUAAUGGUCACUCUAAGGUCAUAACUUUCAAUAAACGCCUUGAGUGAUUCACAAUGAUUUGCUAAUCAGAAACA